UCCCAGAUGGCGCAGUGAUUAGCGCACCUGCCUAGCAAGCAGGAUAUCCCGGGUUCGAGUCCUGAUCCGGGAG